rnacentral:rRNA from 1 species
GAUGAACGCUGGCGGCGUGCCUAACACAUGCAAGUCGAACGGAGUCCAGCCCUUAAGACCUUCGGGUCAAAGAGGGGAAGACUGAGUGGCGGACGGGUGAGUAACACGUGGGCAACCUGGCUCAUAGAGGGGGAUAACAGAGAGAAAUUUCUGCUAAUACCGCAUAAGCACACACUGCCGCAUGGCAGAGGGUGAAAAGAGAAUCGCUAUGAGAUGGACCCGCGUCUGAUUAGCCAGUUGGCAGGGUAAGAGCCUACCAAAGCGACGAUCAGUAGCCGAUCUGAGAGGAUGAACGGCCACAUUGGGACUGAGACACGGCCCAAACUCCUACGGGAGGCAGCAGUGGGUGAUAUUGCACAAUGGGGGGAACCCUGAUGCAGCGACGCCGCGUGAGUGAAGAAGUAUUUCGGUAUGUAAAGCUCUAUCAGCAGGGAAGAUAAUGACAGUACCUGAAUAAGAAGCCCCGGCUAACUACGUG